AAAAAAAAAACUCUAAUAAUUGCUUAAUAACCAGUACCCUAAGGGCAUUUGUUAGAAAAACCCAAACUAAAAUUAUUUAAUGUUAUUUUAUGCCUAAGAGAGAAACAUCUAUGAUACGUACAGAAAUACAAGGAAAGCCCUUGAAAGCAGAAGUAUUCAUUUUAUCUUCAAUUCCAUUGCAUAUAAAAGUCAUACAAAGUGUGAACAAAUACAAAUAUAGACAACCUUGCCUGUUUUUUUUUUCUUUAAUUUUUCUUUGAUUAGAAUUUUUAAAAACUAAAAGCUGCAAAAAUCAGUUUCACAAAUGCAUAGAUGCAUGUGGAUGGUACUCUAAGGUGGAGGUCAUUGGUAAUGCAAGAAUCGGGGAAAUUAUUCACAUGACAAGAAAAAGGUUCACAUCCAGUUGCUCUAGUGAAGCACCACGGAGAAUUUUAUGUGAAAAAUAAUUAAUAAGCUAUUGAACAACAGAAGAAAUGGUACAAACAAGUAGGAUAAUUGAUUUUUCUUACCAACAGCAAUUGGCUCUGUGGAUG
rnacentral:misc_RNA from 1 species